GGUUACUAUUUUAUUAUACUAAAAACGUGAAAAUAACAGUGUGCGAUGGAUGUAAAAUAACUAUUGAAAAAGUUAAAAAGUUUUGGAUAUUUGCUCGUAUUUUUAUUUUAGAUGACAAACGAUGUAUUUAAAAAUUGUAAAAAUUGCACGAUGAAUACAGAAAUCUGCAUAAAAAUGCAGGUGUGUCCUCAAACCAACAAAAAGAGCAAGAGUUUUCAAUUAAAUUAUAAAGUUUAUUUGACAUAGCUCACGGCAGAGUUUUUGAAAUGGUCAGCAAUGAUAUAAAAACUUUUUAAUCGAUCAACGAUCAGAAAGAUAAUUCCAUCUGAAUUUUUCGGACAAUCAACGAGGAAAUGUAAUUGAUUUAUCUGAAACAAGAUCAUGAUCGCCCUACUGAAGUAUCAACUUCUGAUAAUCCACUUGUUGUAAAUGAUAAUCGGUCCAUCGAAGUGUUAACCUCUAAAAACAUUAAAGCAGCAUCUUGUUAUAUAGAACACCAGUUGAACGAUUCUGAAUUAUCAAGAGAAAAUUCAGAAAACUAUUUGCCAUUGCGUUUGACAAGCGCGGGUGGAUCAAUGUCUAGUGGGGAAGCAUUAACUUUUUCUUGAUGAUGAUUAUAUAAAAGGAUAAGAGAUUGCUAUCAAGAUUAAAGUUGUUAAUGAUGUAGCGGAGAGAGAGAGAGCUGUACAAUUGGCUCAAGAAUGUAUAAAUAUGGUAGCUAAAGAUGAGAAUCAAAAACAAUAUCUUCUCCAGGUGAUAAAAAAGUAUAAGAAUGAAUUUUCAAAUGCUACUAAGGAAUGCCUGACAACAAAAAUAAAAGUUCAAUAAUUAA